GAUCAUGGCUCAGGAUAAACGCUGGCGGCGCACAUAAGACAUGCAAGUCGAACGAACUUAACCAUUAGUUUACUAUUGGAGCGGUUAGUGGCGGACUGGUGAGUAACACGUAAGCAACCUGCCUAUCAGAGGGGAACAACAGUUAGAAAUGACUGCUAAUACCGCAUAUGCCUAAGUACCACAUGGUACAAUAGGGAAAGGAGCAAUCCGCUGAUAGAUGGGCUUGCGU
rnacentral:rRNA from 1 species